AAAGACAACCUCUAGAUGGAGGUUGUGAUAUUCCUCUUAAGGUGCAGUUGAGGAAGACUAUUACCCAGGAUGCGCCUUAUGUUCAUUGUGGAAUACUAAUGUUAAGAAUUUCAUGUGCACGCUUUGAGAGAGAACACAAAAUCAACCGUCUGUGGUAUGUUGUUAAUGUGCAUUGGAGUUCUAAUCUUUCUACUGUACCAAAUUGAGCCAC
rnacentral:lncRNA from 1 species